rnacentral:rRNA from 1 species
GAUGAACGCUGGCGGCGUGCUUAACACAUGCAAGUCGAACGAUGAAGCCCAGCUUGCUGGGUGGAUUAGUGGCGAACGGGUGAGUAACACGUGAGUAACCUGCCCUUAACUCUGGGAUAAGCCUGGGAAACUGGGUCUAAUACCGGAUAGGAGCGUCCCCCGCAUGGGGGGUGUUGGAAAGAUUUAUCGGUUUUGGAUGGACUCGCGGCCUAUCAGCUUGUUGGUGAGGUAAUGGCUCACCAAGGCGACGACGGGUAGCCGGCCUGAGAGGGUGACCGGCCACACUGGGACUGAGACACGGCCCAGACUCCUACGGGAGGCAGCAGUGGGGAAUAUUGCACAAUGGGCGCAAGCCUGAUGCAGCGACGCCGCGUGAGGGAUGACGGCCUUCGGGUUGUAAACCUCUUUCAGUAGGGAAGAAGCGAAAGUGACGGUACCUGCAGAAGAAGCACCGGCUAACUACGUG